rnacentral:rRNA from 1 species
UCCGUAGGUGCCCAGCGUUGUCCGGAUUUACUGGGCGUAAAGAGCGCGCAGGCGGUCGUUCAAGUCGAGUGUGAAAGCCCCCGGCUCAACUGGGGAGGGUCACUCGAUACUGAUCGACUUGAAGGCAGGAGAGGGAAGCGGAAUUCCCGGUGUAGUGGUGAAAUGCGUAGAUAUCGUGAGGAACACCAGAGGCGAAGGCGGCUACCGGGACAAUUGCUGACGCUCAGGCACGAAAGCGUGGGGAGCAAAAGGG